CCCCGCAUGACAGCUGUCCAUGGUGGCAUGCACCAGAGGGGAGGCCACUGCAGUGACCAGGAUAUCCUGAUGUAUGACAACUGCGCCUGAGUCAGGCAGUGGAUGGAGAAAGACAAAAAUCUGAGAAACAUUCAAAAAGUGGAAAGAGCAGGGAAAAUUAUUCCCAUCUGCCACCAUCGGUCCUCUGCUUCCUGCUGCUUGCAUGUCAACAGUGCUGAAAGGAAUCCUAGGUAUGACAAGCAGGCUAUCAGUGGAUGGUAAGUGCGAGGACUAUUUUUUCUGGUAUGUCUUCUCUCUUGUCUACAAGGGAAUGCAACCUUAUGGAGUUUGCUGACCCUCCAAGCAUUAAGUGAAGAAAGAAAUGACUGCAAUGAAGAAGAAAUGACCCCUGCUGUUCUUCCUAGCAACCUUCCAUCUCAGCUCAACCUUCAUGACCCUCCAACCCCCAGGGAGUCUCACCUCCCAAGAAACCUCUGCCACCUGGACUGCCAACUUAGAAGGUAACAAAUUGGGUUCUUUGAGGAAUAACGCCUGUCUGCCUAGAGGCAUGGUAGGAAGGCAACUCUGAGCGCCAUGAGGUCAUGGGCCCAGAGAGUAGCUGAGUGAGCAUCUGCAGGGGUUUCCCCCAUAAUUUCUCUUCCAUACCUUUUUCAACGCUUCCCCGUUGUUUCUAUAA